UUUGCUUACUUUGAUUCUGAGGAAUUAAAUUUUUCAUAUGUUCUUGUCAGCUUAAAAUCUGACACGCAGGGCAUUGCCUGACUAAUAUAAAACUGCUUUUUGCUUCUCCAUUUAACACCGAAGCUUGCUUCAGUUGACUCACGGAUUGUCCUGGUCUUACACUACCAUCAUGAUAUGUCUGCUUCAG